AAUUUCUUCUUAAGUAUAAUUUUGUCUUUGUUGUUUUUUUAGCAAUAAGCCAUAUAGACCUUUUCUGCCAACUUAUUCUCCCCAAGAGGGCCACUUAAAGGAGGGUGAAGACAUGCUAAGGAGACCCUGAAAACUCUUCAAGGAUUCUUGGUCGGAGGUGUAGAAGCACCAAUGCACUGAUGUUUUUCAGAUGGUGCCACCAGCAGAGGCACUAGAAAAGAGGAGCUUUUCC
rnacentral:lncRNA from 1 species